rnacentral:rRNA from 1 species
AUUGAACGCUGGCGGCAUGCCUUACACAUGCAAGUCGGACGGCAGCACGGGGGCAACCCUGGUGGCGAGUGGCGAACGGGUGAGUAAAGCAUCGGAACGUACCUGGGAGUGGGGGAUAACGUAGCGAAAGUUACGCUAAUACCGCAUAUUCUGUGAGCAGGAAAGCGGGGGAUCGCAAGACCUCGCGCUUCUGGAGCGGCCGAUGUCGGAUUAGCUGGUUGGUGGGGUAAAGGCCUACCAAGGCGACGAUCCGUAGCGGGUCUGAGAGGAUGAUCCGCCACACUGGGACUGAGACACGGCCCAGACUCCUACGGGAGGCAGCAGUGGGGAAUUUUGGACAAUGGGCGCAAGCCUGAUCCAGCCAUGCCGCGUGAGUGAAGAAGGCCUUCGGGUUGUAAAGCUCUUUCGGUGGGGAAGAAAUCGCAUUCUUUAAUAGAGGGUGUGGAUGACGGUACCCGCACAAGAAGCACCGGCUAACUACGUGCCAGCCGCCGCCGUAACAC